AUGUAGCUUGGGGCUAUGCGUUGAAUUGUGUCCCCCGAAAAGUUGAUAUUCUAGCCCCCAGCGCCUGUGAAAGUAGCCUUACUUGGAAAUAGCUUUAUUGGGAAAUGGCCUUCCUGGACCCAUCAGAUAAGGAUGAGGUCAUUAGGAUGGGUCCAAAUCCAACAUGACUAUCCAACAGAGAGGACUUGGACAUAGAGAUAGACAUGCAUACAGGGAAGGUGAUGUGAAGACACAGAAGAAUGCCAUCUCCAAUCCAAGGAUGCUUGAGGCUAUCAGAAGCUAGAAGAGGCAUGUACAGACUCUCCUUUGCAGCCCCCAGAAGAAACUAACCCUGCUGACACAGUGAUCCUGGACAUCUAGCCUCCAGCUGUGAAACAAUAAAGGCCUGUUAUUUUAAGUCACCCAACACGCGGAAUUUUGUUAGGGCAGCCACGGCAAACUAACGCACUUGGCUUAGGUCAGGAGUCAGCAAACUUCUUUAAAGGGUGUGAUAUAAAUAUUUUUGGCUUGAGGGACCAUAAUAUCCCUGUCAUCAUUACUCAACUAAGCUGUCAUAAUGUGAAAGCAGCCAUAGACAAUAGGUAAACAAAGGGUGUUACAGUGUGCCAAUGACCCUUGAUGCCCCAAAACAGCCAACAGGUGGGGCUGGUCCACGGGCCAUAGCUUUUGGACUCUGGGUCUAGGCGAUGGUGGUGCAGAUUAAAAGAAGCAGAUGAAGGCUCUGAGGCCAGCAGGGCUGAAAGCCUGCUCUGCAUUCACUAAGUGUGUGACCUCGGUUUUUAACCCUACAGAUUAGAAGCAUGAGAUACAUUCACCUUGUUCGGCUACCAUCACCACUACCCUUCUCCAGAGCUCUUUUCCUCCUACAAAACAGAAACUCAGUAUCCACAGUUGAGGUCGGAGGGAGAACCAGCUAAUCAAGCCUGCAUUACAAGAAGAAGCUCCAACUGCUUGGCACUAGCACUAGAGGAGAGGCUUCAGGCAUCAAACACCUACCGUCCUCUGAUUCCUUCACAAUUGUGGCCUCGUUGUUUAUGGGGAGUCUAAUAAAAGGCAAGGGAUUGCUGAUUAGCUGAAGUUUCCCUUGGCUGGGAUCAAAGUAAAUCUUUCAGAUUUAUACAACC